rnacentral:rRNA from 1 species
CAGUAGCCGCGGUAAAACGAAGGGGGCUAGCGUUGCUCGGAAUUACUGGGCGUAAAGGGCGCGUAGGCGGACAUUUAAGUCAGGGGUGAAAUCCCGGGGCUCAACCUCGGAACUGCCUUUGAUACUGGGUGCCUUGAGUAUGAGAGAGGUGUGUGGAACUCCGAGUGUAGAGGUGAAAUUCGUAGAUAUUCGGAAGAACACCAGUGGCAAGGCGACACACUGGCUCAUUACUGACGCUGAGGCGCGAAAGCGUGGGGAGCAAACAGGAUUAGAUACCCCAGUAGUCCCUGUCUCUUAUACA